UACGUAGGGUGCAAGCGUUGUCCGGAAUUAUUGGGCGUAAAGAGCUCGUAGGCGGUUUGUCGCGUCGAAUGUGAAAACUCGGGGCUCAACUCCGAGCUUGCAUUCGAUACGGGCAGGCUAGAGUUCGGUAGGGGAGACUGGAAUUCCUGGUGUAGCGGUGAAAUGCGCAGAUAUCAGGAGGAACACCGGUGGCGAAGGCGGGUCUCUGGGCCGAUACUGACGCUGAGGCGCGAAAGCGUGGGGAGCAAACAGG
rnacentral:rRNA from 1 species